AAUGGCAAUGAUGACCAAUGAUAAUCCCAGCUCUAUGAGAUCUUCAUUUGGAAGGUCAAGGACUACAUGUUAUCAAUUUCUAUCUGAGCCGAUA
rfam:Populus trichocarpa isolate Nisqually-1 chromosome 18, whole genome shotgun sequence.